rnacentral:rRNA from 1 species
UACGGGGGGGGGCAAGCGUUGUUCGGAAUUACUGGGCGUAAAGGGCUCGUAGGCGGCCAACUAAGUCAGACGUGAAAUCCCUCGGCUUAACCGGGGAACUGCGUCUGAUACUGGAUGGCUUGAGUUCGGGAGAGGGAUGCGGAAUUCCAGGUGUAGCGGUGAAAUGCGUAGAUAUCUGGAGGAACACCGGUGGCGAAGGCGGCAUCCUGGACCGACACUGACGCUGAGGAGCGAAAGCCAGGGGAGCAAAGCGGG